GCUGAGAGCCACCUCGUUUGCGUUGGAAAAAGUCCGCGUGAUUUCAAAUGUUUGUGAGCAAUUCCUUCAUGGUAUAGGUGGUGUUGUAACUUCAUACUGAAGCUCUUACCUCUAGCUAUUGUUUUUGCAAUCUGUGCAACAUUGUACUGCAUGUACGUGAAAGCGUUUCAGGCCGGUCGCCGGCGGUUUAAUCUGUUUAAUCUGUCGGUUGUGGAAAGUCGAAGUUCGCGGUUGUCUUGGAUGCUAGUACCCAAUCUGAAGCUAUUCGCGGGUCCGUUUACAGGAUUUCAGACAUUUUUCAGGCAUUGUGAGCGCUGAUACGAAGAUAGCAAGAUUCAAUGCGGUGUGACUGUUACUAACCGCUCUCUGUGCAAACGGUUAAGUCCGUACGCAGCGACAGGCAAUGGAUGGAGUCGUCGCGAGCUGGUAAUGGAACUCGUUCUCGCCGACGUUGGAUCAAGAAAGGCAAACUGGACGGGAAAUCACGAGUCCCCAAGUCUACGAAAAGACAGAAGAACACCAUCGCCGAGGAGAUGACUGCUUGAUGUAAAAUGUUUAGUCGUCGUUAUUCGUUGGUGGGACAUUGCGGAUACGUGCUCCAUGAGUUUAAGCUGUGUUGAUUACUGCGUGUGUGUUGAUGAUCAACGGUACGCUUUCAAAGACAUGUAAGUGCAGAAUCAAGUUUGUGUUGUAAUGGGUCACUGUUUCGUGUUGUUUCUUGUAAGCGAUCCCCAUCUCGAUGACUCGCGCUUCUGAAAGCCAUGUAAAUAACAGUUGUGUGAUUUGAGGCUGUUUUGAUACUGCUACUAAUUUGAGGACAGCGCCAGAGGCGCAGUGCAAACGAAUGAAUUUGGACCUUGCUGUGCCAACGUCACAACGCAUUUAGGUAGCAAAUUGCAGACUGGUGUUUACAUCAGGGUCAUUUUACCCCAAUGGUCCAAAAGUCCUACGCCCCCAGUUCUUUAUAAAGAAAACAAAUGGUGCGUCUUCGCAAUUGCGGUUGACGGAAGAACGACAGCACCUCACAGCUCCACCCUAUAGUGGCUACUUUUAACGUAGAGGGAUUGCAAUACAGUGGCAGUACUAUUUCGAAUGCCCAAGACUAAUGUGUUCCUCCAUUUCCCCGGUCGCGCUGCGGGCAGUCUCGUCAGGUUGGUAGGUAUGCGAAAAGGACGUCCGGAUCAUUUGGCGAAUGAAUGACCCAUAAGGAUUGCCUGGUGUCGUUCUUUCAUAGAGUUAAUUUACAUUUGUCACCUGAGCAUAACAAUGUUCAUCUGACAAAUAUUGGACUGUGGUGUUAUGAGUGGUGUUACUAUCUAGUCCAUUCCUUUCAGUAUGUCACUUGGAAAGCAUUAUGCAUGCAGGCAUUCUACCAAAGGGUAGUACAUUCGACAGUAUUUUUGGGCGCUCAGUAUUUAUUAGAAUUUGUUCGUAAAUUAUUGCAACUUGAUAUUUUGCGUUUGAGGAGUUACAGAGUCAGCCUGAUCAGGGAACAUAAGUAACUGGAGUUUAACAUUUCAAUAUUAUUUCUAGAAGUUCAACAAUACGCGUUGUGAUAUUAUGGACAUUAUACUAUCUAGUCAUUGUCUAGCCGUUGAUAAGCGCUUGUGCCAUUAUUGGCUUGUCGCAAUGCUGCGCGAUCGUAAAGUGAGGAGUACAGGCUGGUCACUUUUGCAGUGUUUUAAUAGCUUUACUUAAAAUAAAGUUUUGUCAAAAUGUG